rnacentral:rRNA from 1 species
AAAUUGAAGAGUUUGAUCAUGGCUCAGAUUGAACGCUGGCGGCAGGCCUAACACAUGCAAGUCGAACGGUAACAGAAAUCAGCUUGCUG